GAUGAACGCUGGCGGCGUGCCUAAUACAUGCGAGUCGAGCGAACAGACGAGGAGCUUGCUCCUCUGAUGUUAGCGGCGGGCGGGUGAGUAACACGUGGAUAACCUACCUAUAAGACUGGGAUAACUUCGGGAAACCGGAGCUAAUACCGGAUAACAUGUUGAACCGCAUGGUUCAACAGUGAAAGACGGUUUUGCUGUCACUUAUAGAUGGAUCCUCGCCGCAUUAGCUAGUUGGUAAGGUAACGGCUUACCAAGGCAACGAUGCGUAGCCGACCUGAGAGGGUGAUCGGCCACACUGGAACUGAGACACGGUCCAGACUCCUACGGGAGGCAGCAGUAGGGAAUCUUCCGCAAUGGGCGAAAGCCUGACGGAGCAACGCCGCGUGAGUGAAGAAGGUCUUCGGAUCGUAAAACUCUGUUAUUAGGGAAGAACAAAUGUGUAAGUAACUAUGCACGUCUUGACGGUACCUAAUCAGAAAGCCACGGCUAACUACGUG
rnacentral:rRNA from 1 species